rnacentral:rRNA from 1 species
AUUGAACGCUGGCGGCAGGCCUAACACAUGCAAGUCGAGCGGAUGAAGGGAGCUUGCUCCUGGAUUCAGCGGCGGACGGGUGAGUAAUGCCUAGGAAUCUGCCUGGUAGUGGGGGAUAACGUCCGGAAACGGGCGCUAAUACCGCAUACGUCCUGAGGGAGAAAGUGGGGGAUCUUCGGACCUCACGCUAUCAGAUGAGCCUAGGUCGGAUUAGCUAGUUGGUGGGGUAAAGGCCUACCAAGGCGACGAUCCGUAACUGGUCUGAGAGGGUAAUCAGUCACACUGGAACUGAGACACGGUCCAGACUCCUACGGGAGGCAGCAGUGGGGAAUAUUGGACAAUGGGCGAAAGCCUGAUCCAGCCAUGCCGCGUGUGUGAAGAAGGUCUUCGGAUUGUAAAGCACUUUAAGUUGGGAGGAAGGGCAGUAAGUUAAUACCUUGCUGUUUUGACGUUACCAACAGAAUAAGCACCGGCUAACUUCGUG